GAGAGAGGGAACACAAGCAGGGGGAGUGGGGGAGGAAGAAGCAGGCUCCUAGCGGAGAAGACUGAUGUGGGGCUCGAUCCCAUAACGCCGGGAUCACGCCCUGAGCCGAAGGUGACGCUUAACCGCUGUGCCACCCAGGCGCCCCCCGUUGUUUAUUUUUUAAAAUAUAUUUUUGAACUAUUUUCUUAGUGGUUACCUUAGGGGUUACAAUUAAAAUAGUCUUGUCUUAUUUUUAAGCUUUUCCGUGGACCUGAAUCUGUCCCUAUAGGAAUCCAGUUGGGAGAACUCUGAUGGCUGUGACUGGAAAGGGAGGGGACAGAAGGAGUAACCAGGGACAGUUUGUUAUCUGAGAAUUAUCUGUGUGGGUGGAUUUAUCUGUUAACUUCUUGGUGGAAUUGGGUUGUUUAUACCACAGACCUCUCCAGUGAACGGUGAUACUUCCCAAAUGUUUGAUCUGAUACAGUUUUUAGUAACCUGAUCAGUAGCCUUCCCUCCUGGCUUGGAGAUCUGAAAGCCCGGUGCUGGGGUGGUUGGAAGUCAGCAUGGUUGGAAGCUUCCUCCUGUAACCUGUUCUCUGAGCUCCUGUGCUCUCCUCACGUUUCCCAGGUGUCGAGCCCCCUGCUGAGUGUGAUACGCUCCCAGUCCCCAGGUCUGGAGGGACCCCAGUGCCCAAGACCUUCUCCCAUAGCUCCUCAUGGACGGCCUGUCUUGAAGGGAGGAGCCAGCUGAAAGCACGUAAGCAGGUCAGGACACCAGGAUUUGGCCAGAAGACAGUUCCUCUCCUCCCCUCAGGACUUCGUGGAGAACCUUGGGCGGCUUUCGUCUCUGCUGCUCUCUGAAGGCUCUGCAAGCUGGCAGGUGUGUGGCCCGGGCCGGACUCUGCAAGCACUCUGGGUUUCCACCUGCCGGGUUUGAGGGUUCGAGGGCUCGAGGGUUUGAAGGCUCGAGCGGCAGACAGAGAGAGAACGCAUUCCUGGGACUGCAGGCCUCCUGGACAGGUCAGCAGCUGACGUCCGGGGGCCAUCGGUUACGUGCAAGGCCAUGUGUGGGGCUGGGAGGGGCCGGAGAGGGUAGGCGUUUCUGCUUUAAUGUUUCUCUUUGACUGAAGUUAGCGAGCGUACCACGUGGAACUCUGUUCCCCAAAGGGAGGCAAUGAGGAGUGGGUGCUGAGGCUGGGAAGAUGCCCUGCCCACUCAGACCUUGUGAGCCUGCUGUGGGAAGGGGACGGGGACAGAGAGGACAGAAGUCUCAGGAACCACAUGUGCCAGACCCUGAAUACUUGGACUUAGAAUCUGUCCCGUGGCUGGUGGAGAACCAUUAAAAUUUGUGAAAGGUAGUGAUAGGAUUUUUCCAAAAAGUGUUGUGGAGAGAUUCACUGGGGGCUAUUGUGCUUCCAAUGUGAAGAAAAGUUUGGAAGCAGUGAAAGAGUUAAAAGGGAAAGUUUGAUCAUGUGACCUAACAAAAUUAAGGGACUUCCCCUCACCCCUCACCCCGAUUUAAAAAUACAGUACUUUUUUUGGUUAUUCCUAAAAGCCUACCAACAGAGCCUCAUAGACACAUGCAUACACAUUUACCAAAGAAAUCUCAUGCCUUCUCUUGUACUUAGAGUUGCAUAAAUAACAUGAUCUUAGCUACAUUUAACAUUGCUU
ensembl:lncRNA